UACGUAGGUGGCAAGCGUUGUCCGGAUUUACUGGGCGUAAAGAGCGCGCAGGCGGUCGUUCAAGUCGAGUGUGAAAGCCCCCGGCUCAACUGGGGAGGGUCACUCGAUACUGAUCGACUCGAAGGCAGAAGAGGGAAGCGGAAUUCCCGGUGUAGUGGUGAAAUGCGUAGAUAUCGGGAGGAACACCUAUUGCGAAGGCAGCUCGCUGGGACGUAACUGACGCUGAGACGCGAAAGCGUGGGGAGCAAACAGG
rnacentral:rRNA from 1 species